rnacentral:piRNA from 1 species
UAAGCAGACAUGUGGAGGCAUGUAUGGGU